UUAAUUUGACUCCGCCCACAUUAAAUAAACGGAUACGAUUGGUUGCAAACAUGCCGUAAAAUCUAGUUUAGUGACGUAAAACACAUUUUGUUGAAGUCGAGCGCGCCAAGAAAAUUUUGCCGAUUAGUGAAGCACUCUUUUCUUGCUAACUAAAUCAACGAUUCAAAUGGCAACGACUAGCUAGAUACCGUUGCAGUCAAGAAAUUUGCUAUGUCUCCUUGUGGAGUGCAACGAGAGGCAGGUGGUUAUAGCGUUGGACGAGUUAACUGCAAGGAUACAAGAUUGCAAGAAUGGAUCCCCCGAGCUGACAAGGUGAAAAUCUGUCGUUCUGCCCCUGAACAAGGCAGUUAACCCACCGUUCCUAGGCCGUCAUUGAAAAUAAGAAUGUGUUCUUAACUAACUUGCCUAGUUAAAUAAAGGUAUAACAAUUUUUUUUUUAAUCGGCGCCCAAAAAAUACAGAUUUCCGAUUGUUAUGAAAACUUGAAAUCGGCCAUUCCGAUUAAUCGGUCGACCUCUAAUUUUUACACUAUUUGGACUUAAGUGACCCAAAAGCCCAAGGAUUUACUUGGCAUGAGGAUGUUUUUCAGUGGCAGGGACUGGGAGACAAGUCAGGAUCGAGGGAAGAUGAACGGAGCAAAGUACAGAGUGGUCUUUGAUGAAAACCUGCUCCAGAGCACUCAGGACCUCAGACUGGGGUGAAUGUUCAUCUCCCAACAGGAGUAGCUUCGGGACAAGUCUCUGAAUGUCCUUGAGUAGCCCAGCCAGAACCCGGACUUGAACCCGAUCGAACAUCUCUGGAGAGACCUGAAAAUAGCUGUGCAGCGACGCUCCCCAUCCAACCUGACAGAGCUUGAGAGAAUCUACAGAGAAGAAUGGGAGAAACUCCCCAAAUACAGGCGUGCCAAGCUUGUAGCGUCAUACCCAAGAAGACUCAAGGCUGUAAUUGCUGCCAAAGCUAAACGUGUCCGACGACCGAGGUGUUGAUGUUGUUUGAGGACCCAUCCUGAGUUUUGCCAGCACCAGCACCAUAUUCAAAAGGGUUUCAAGUUGGUGAUACUGGACGAGGCCGAUGCUAUGACCCGGGAUGCCCAGAAUGCAUUGCGGCGAGUCAUUGAGAAGUACACAGAGAACACGCGUUCUGCCUGAUCUGUAACUCCAGAUGCACCAGGUUCCGUCCUGUCUCAGGACCAGAUGAUCCCCAGGCUGGAGUAUGUUAUCCAACAGGAGAGCAUUGAUAUAACUCCAGAUGGAAUAAAAGCUAUUGUGACCCUAUCAUCGGGAGACAUGAGAAGAUCACUCAACGUACUGCAGUUCUUGACGAUGACAAGCAUACCCAUAACAUGAUGCAGCCCACACCGUGCUUGAAAAUAUGAAGAGUGGUACUCAAUGACAUGUUGUGUUGGAUUUGCCCCAAACAUAAUGCUUUGUAUUCAGGACAUAAAGUACAUUUCUUUGCCACAUUUCUUUGUUGUAUUUAAGUGGCUUAUUGCAAACAGCAUGUUUUUGAAUAUUUUUUUAUUCUGUACAGGCUUAUUUCUUUUCACUCUGUCAAUUGGAUUAGUAUUUUGGAGUAACUACAAUGUUGUUUACCCAUGCUUAGUUUUCUCCUAUUACUGCCAUGUAAUUGUUUAAAGUCACCAUUGGCCUAAUGGUGAAGUCUCUGAGCAGUUCCCUUCCUCUCCGGCAACUGAGAUAGGAAGGAUUCCUGUAUCUUUGUAGUGACUGGUUGUAUUGAUAUACAAAGUGUUAUUAAUAAUGUCUGCUUUAAAAAAUAAAAUAAAAAUGUUUUACACAUCUUCCAA